rnacentral:rRNA from 1 species
GACGAACGCUGGCGGCGUGCCUAAUACAUGCAAGUUGAGCGCUGAAGGCUGGUUCUUGUACCAACUGGCUGAGCAGCGAACGGGUGAGUAACGCGUGGGGAAUCUGCCUUUGAGCGGGGGACAACAUUUGGAACCGAAUGCUAAUACCGCAUAAAAACUUUAAACACAAGUUUUAAGUUUGAAAGAUGCAAUUGCAUCACUCAAAGAUGAUCCCGCGUUGUAUUAGCUAGUUGGUGAGGUAAAGGCUCACCAAGGCGAUGAUACAUAGCCGACCUGAGAGGGUGGUCGGCCACAGUGGGACUGAGACACGGCCCAAACCCCUGCGGGAGGCAGCAGUAGGGAAUCGUCGGCAAUGGACGAAAGUCUGACCGAGCAACGCCGCGUGAGUGAAGAAGGAUGUCGGAUCGUAAAACUCUGUUGGUAGAGAAGAACGUUGGUGAGAGUGGAAAGCUCAUCAAGUGACGGUAACUACCCAGAAAGGGACGGCUAACUACGUG